ACUCCUACGGGAGGCAGCAGUGGGGAAUAUUGCACAAUGGGGGAAACCCUGAUGCAGCCAUGCCGCGUGUGUGAAGAAGGCCUUCGGGUUGUAAAGCACUUUCAGUAGGGAGGAAGGUAGUGUAGUUAACACCUGCAUUAUUUGACGUUACCUACAGAAGAAGCACCGGCUAACUCCGUGCCAGCAGCCGCGGUAAUACGGAGGGUGCGAGCGUUAAUCGGAAUUACUGGGCGUAAAGCGCAUGCAGGCGGCCUGUUAAGUCAGAUGUGAAAGCCCGGGGCUUAACCUCGGAAUUGCAUUUGAAACUGGCAGGCUAGAGUCUUGUAGAGGGGGGUAGAAUUUCAGGUGUAGCGGUGAAAUGCGUAGAGAUCUGAAGGAAUACCAGUGGCGAAGGCGGCCCCCCUGGAC
rnacentral:rRNA from 1 species